AUAAAUUAAUUAUUGUUAAUUAUAUUUUCUGUGUUUUAUGAUAAUAAAUUAUUUGUUACCUACUGUAGUGACAUUAGUGACAAAAACUGAAUGUUUAUAAUGUCUUCGAAUUCGAGUUCUUGUUCUUCGCGGGAAUCACGGGGAAGGAAAAGUUGCAAAGUAAGUUCCCUGUUUAAAAUGCUAAAAACACAGAAAAAAAAACUCCUCAAGUAGAGUGUACUUUUUGUACACUUCAACUAUCAAAAAAUGGGACACGUUUGUUGGAACAUAUUAAAAAAUGCCUAAAAUGUCCACAGGAAGUUAAAAUAAAGUAUGGAGUGACGGAGAGAAAACAACGAAACAUUGGACUAUUACAAACAAUACAUGAAAAAAGGGAGGAAAAAGUUAAAGAAAAACCGAAAUCACAAUCUAAAGAGGUGUCCGCAUUCAUGGAUAAAAUGACACCUGAACAAAAAGUAAAAG